CUAGCUAGCCUUGAUUUUCUAGGUAAGAUCAACACCAUCCAUUCCCCAUCCCCCACGCCUCCACACACCACACAUAUACAUUCACAUCUGAAGGUCAAUGUCAGGACUACUCAUGCUUCCCUCUUCCCUCACUUCUGAGAGACAGGUAAGAUCGAUAACAUCUAUAAAUACAAACUCAAUCCGGCACACAAGAGUCUCCUUCCUUGCCUUCCCUCACCAUUCCCCCCCCCCCUCCAACCCUUCAUCUCCUUUUAGUAUUGAAUCUGAAACAUUAUAUUUCGAAAUUGGAAUGUCUUUUACACACAGAGAUAUAUGUGAUGAUUCAGUAGUAGGGGGCUUGAGUAUCAUAUGUAUGCAUGGAUAGUAUAUCGGUGAGUGACUUCCAUGCUGACCCUCGUCAAAUGAACAGUGUCUUGCAGGUUAUAUCUCCAUCUCGUUGUCUGUUCGACCUUGAACUUUUAUAUAUAUCCCAUUUCUAGUCUCUCUCGUGUUUGUUUUCUACAGUUUACGGUAUAUAUAAGUAAUAAUGUCGUUAGGGAGUUGUUAAUGUCACUCCAAAUAGUUCUCAACGCUAAUUAAUAUAUAAUUAACCUUUUAAUUAAUGGAGUUUUAAUGAAACACUUUUGGUACUGUUCACUUUUAACGAAAAAAACAUUAUUACUCUAAAAAGUCAUUCUUGUUACUAUUCACUUACAACACUUUUUGUCAUUUUGAUUAAAAUUCAAAGUUUUCAAGUCAAUUUCUUUAGUUUUCUUUUUAAUUAACUAUUGAAACCCUUCUGAUCAUCUUCUCCAUCCAUGCCUUUUAACAUUGAUAAUUUCUUCAUAGUAUGAUAGUUAUUAGUUUAUAUAUUAACAUGAAGGAUUUGAGAAUAAAUUAGUGUCGAACUCGUCAUUCACGAAAUCGAAUUUAAAAUCUCUCACUUACAAGUGAAGAUAAAAAGAACUAUCACUAAAUUGUAGUCAUAAAGAUACCCACACACAUAUUAUAUUCAAUUUAUUAUCUUCGGAACUUACUUAAUUUGCAAAUUAUAGGUAUACAUUAUAUUGUUGAAUAAUUUUUUUUUUCUCACUCCCUUAUAGUAAUCACGUAUGCACUUUCAUUGUUCUUUAAUUUUUCAGUAAAAAAACAACGUGCAUAGUAAAUUUCGGUAAAAAAAAGAGUGCACAAUGAAUUUUUUAAAGCCGUAGUAAUUAUGUCAUUAUAAAUAAUGAAUCAAUAGAGAGAAAUUCUGGUGAUAAAUCAUAUUAAUCCCAAAGUAAAAAUUAGAGCUAAUUAGGAACUGAAAGCGGACCAAGGUCAAACUGGCAACAAAGUUGAGGUAUUAGUAAGAACCGUUUGCUUGACAAGGACUUUGUAUGGACAUCAACCCUCAUCAUUCCCGCGUUUCGUCGUUCAAAACCGAUUACCUCAUCAGCUGAAAGCAUAGCGAUGGCGACCCAGACUGCCUAUUCCAUUCACUGGCUGAAGCCUCAAAGAUCAAGGACCAGGGCUGCCUUCGACUAGCGACAAGUGGCCGGCCCUUUUUGUUUAAGUUGAAGCAGACAAAUAUAAUCAUGACAAAGGCCCACAUGGGUUCAAUUUUCUCUGUCACUGAAAUAAGACUGAAAAUAGAAAUAUUUUUAUCUUUUUUUUCACCGAAUUCUCUAUCUCUUGAUGUAAAUAUAUCGUUUUAUUCAAAAAAUAAUUUUAUUUACCAACA